rnacentral:rRNA from 1 species
AGGAAUAUUGGUCAAUGGGCGGAAGCCUGAACCAGCCAUGCCGCGUGCAGGAAGACGGCCCUAUGGGUUGUAAACUGCUUUUAUACCGGAAUAAACCCUUUUACGUGUAAGAGGCUGAAUGUACGGUAGGAAUAAGGAUCGGCUAACUCCGUGCCAGCAGCCGCGGUAAUACGGAGGAUCCAAGCGUUAUCCGGAUUUAUUGGGUUUAAAGGGUGCGUAGGCGGCCUUGUAAGUCAGGGGUGAAAGACGGCAGCUUAACUGUCGCAGUGCCUUUGAUACUGCAGGGCUUGAAUGUACUUGAAGUGGGCGGAAUGUGACAAGUAGCGGUGAAAUGCAUAGAUAUGUCACAGAACACCGAUUGCGGAGGCAGCUCACUAAAGUAAGAUUGACGCUGAGGCACGAAAGCGUGGGGAUCAAACA